CUACGUGCCAGCAGCCGCGGUAAUACGUAGGGUGCGAGCGUUGUCCGGAAUUAUUGGGCGUAAAGGGCUUGUAGGCGGUUGGUCGCGUCUGCCGUGAAAUUCUCUGGCUUAACUGGGGGCGUGCGGUGGGUACGGGCUGACUUGAGUGCGGUAGGGGAGACUGGAACUCCUGGUGUAGCGGUGGAAUGCGCAGAUAUCAGGAAGAACACCGGUGGCGAAGGCGGGUCUCUGGGCCGUUACUGACGCUGAGGAGCGAAAGCGUGGGGAGCGAACAGGAUUAGAUACCCUGGUAGUCCACGCUGUAAACGAUGUCGAUUUGGGGGUUGAGCUUUGAGCUUGGCGCCCGUAGCUAACGUGAUAAAUCGACCGCCUGGGGAGUACGGCCGCAAGGUUAAAACUCAAAUGAAUUGACGGGGGCCCGCACAAGCGGUGGAGCAUGUGGUUUAAUUCGAUGCAACGCGAAGAACCUUACCUACUCUU
rnacentral:rRNA from 1 species